GCUUACGGCCAUACACCCUGAAUGCGCCCGCUGAUCUCUGAAGCUAAGCAGGGUCAGGCCUGGUUAGUACUUGGAUGGGAGACCGCCUGGGAAUACCAGGUGCUGUAAGCU
rnacentral:rRNA from 1 species